UUAAGCGACUAAGCGUACACGGUGGAUGCCCUGGCAGUCAGAGGCGAUGAAGGACGUGCUAAUCUGCGAUAAGCGUCGGUAAGGUGAUAUGAACCGUUAUAACCGGCGAUUUCCGAAUGGGGAAACCCAGUGUGAUUCGUCACACUAUCAUUAACUGAAUCCAUAGGUUAAUGAGGCGAACCGGGGGAACUGAAACAUCUAAGUACCCCGAGGAAAAGAAAUCAACCGAGAUUCCCCCAGUAGCGGCGAGCGAACGGGGAGCAGCCCAGAGCCUGAAUCAGUGUGUGUGUUAGUGGAAGCGUCUGGAAAGGCGCGCGAUACAGGGUGACAGCCCCGUACACAAAAAUGCACAUGCUGUGAGCUCGAUGAGUAGGGCGGGACACGUGGUAUCCUGUCUGAAUAUGGGGGGACCAUCCUCCAAGGCUAAAUACUCCUGACUGACCGAUAGUGAACCAGUACCGUGAGGGAAAGGCGAAAAGAACCCCGGCGAGGGGAGUGAAAAAGAACCUGAAACCGUGUACGUACAAGCAGUGGGAGCACGCUUAGGCGUGUGACUGCGUACCUUUUGUAUAAUGGGUCAGCGACUUAUAUUCUGUAGCAAGGUUAACCGAAUAGGGGAGCCGAAGGGAAACCGAGUCUUAACUGGGCGUUAAGUUGCAGGGUAUAGACCCGAAACCCGGUGAUCUAGCCAUGGGCAGGUUGAAGGUUGGGUAACACUAACUGGAGGACCGAACCGACUAAUGUUGAAAAAUUAGCGGAUGACUUGUGGCUGGGGGUGAAAGGCCAAUCAAACCGGGAGAUAGCUGGUUCUCCCCGAAAGCUAUUUAGGUAGCGCCUCGUGAAUUCAUCUCCGGGGGUAGAGCACUGUUUCGGCAAGGGGGUCAUCCCGACUUACCAACCCGAUGCAAACUGCGAAUACCGGAGAAUGUUAUCACGGGAGACACACGGCGGGUGCUAACGUCCGUCGUGAAGAGGGAAACAACCCAGACCGCCAGCUAAGGUCCCAAAGUCAUGGUUAAGUGGGAAACGAUGUGGGAAGGCCCAGACAGCCAGGAUGUUGGCUUAGAAGCAGCCAUCAUUUAAAGAAAGCGUAAUAGCUCACUGGUCGAGUCGGCCUGCGCGGAAGAUGUAACGGGGCUAAACCAUGCACCGAAGCUGCGGCAGCGACACUAUGUGUUGUUGGGUAGGGGAGCGUUCUGUAAGCCUGUGAAGGUGUACUGUGAGGUAUGCUGGAGGUAUCAGAAGUGCGAAUGCUGACAUAAGUAACGAUAAAGCGGGUGAAAAGCCCGCUCGCCGGAAGACCAAGGGUUCCUGUCCAACGUUAAUCGGGGCAGGGUGAGUCGACCCCUAAGGCGAGGCCGAAAGGCGUAGUCGAUGGGAAACAGGUUAAUAUUCCUGUACUUGGUGUUACUGCGAAGGGGGGACGGAGAAGGCUAUGUUGGCCGGGCGACGGUUGUCCCGGUUUAAGCGUGUAGGCUGGUUUUCCAGGCAAAUCCGGAAAAUCAAGGCUGAGGCGUGAUGACGAGGCACUACGGUGCUGAAGCAACAAAUGCCCUGCUUCCAGGAAAAGCCUCUAAGCAUCAGGUAACAUCAAAUCGUACCCCAAACCGACACAGGUGGUCAGGUAGAGAAUACCAAGGCGCUUGAGAGAACUCGGGUGAAGGAACUAGGCAAAAUGGUGCCGUAACUUCGGGAGAAGGCACGCUGAUAUGUAGGUGAAGUCCCUCGCGGAUGGAGCUGAAAUCAGUCGAAGAUACCAGCUGGCUGCAACUGUUUAUUAAAAACACAGCACUGUGCAAACACGAAAGUGGACGUAUACGGUGUGACGCCUGCCCGGUGCCGGAAGGUUAAUUGAUGGGGUCAGCGCAAGCGAAGCUCUUGAUCGAAGCCCCGGUAAACGGCGGCCGUAACUAUAACGGUCCUAAGGUAGCGAAAUUCCUUGUCGGGUAAGUUCCGACCUGCACGAAUGGCGUAAUGAUGGCCAGGCUGUCUCCACCCGAGACUCAGUGAAAUUGAACUCGCUGUGAAGAUGCAGUGUACCCGCGGCAAGACGGAAAGACCCCGUGAACCUUUACUAUAGCUUGACACUGAACAUUGAGCCUUGAUGUGUAGGAUAGGUGGGAGGCUUUGAAGUGUGGACGCCAGUCUGCAUGGAGCCGACCUUGAAAUACCACCCUUUAAUGUUUGAUGUUCUAACGUGGACCCGUAAUCCGGGUUGCGGACAGUGUCUGGUGGGUAGUUUGACUGGGGCGGUCUCCUCCUAAAGAGUAACGGAGGAGCACGAAGGUUGGCUAAUCCUGGUCGGACAUCAGGAGGUUAGUGCAAUGGCAUAAGCCAGCUUGACUGCGAGCGUGACGGCGCGAGCAGGUGCGAAAGCAGGUCAUAGUGAUCCGGUGGUUCUGAAUGGAAGGGCCAUCGCUCAACGGAUAAAAGGUACUCCGGGGAUAACAGGCUGAUACCGCCCAAGAGUUCAUAUCGACGGCGGUGUUUGGCACCUCGAUGUCGGCUCAUCACAUCCUGGGGCUGAAGUAGGUCCCAAGGGUAUGGCUGUUCGCCAUUUAAAGUGGUACGCGAGCUGGGUUUAGAACGUCGUGAGACAGUUCGGUCCCUAUCUGCCGUGGGCGCUGGAGAACUGAGGGGGGCUGCUCCUAGUACGAGAGGACCGGAGUGGACGCAUCACUGGUGUUCGGGUUGUCAUGCCAAUGGCACUGCCCGGUAGCUAAAUGCGGAAGAGAUAAGUGCUGAAAGCAUCUAAGCACGAAACUUGCCCCGAGAUGAGUUCUCCCUGACUCCUUGAGAGUCCUGAAGGAACGUUGAAGACGACGACGUUGAUAGGCCGGGUGUGUAAGCGCAGCGAUGCGUUGAGCUAACCGGUACUAAUGAACCGUGAGGCUUAACCUU
rnacentral:rRNA from 1 species